GCGCCCUCCAAAUCGUCCCUGUCUUUGCCCCCUCUGGUCCCUCAGAGCGAUCUAGGUUAGUUCCAGCACCUUCAACCUUCUUCCCACCGCUUAGGGACUUCUUCUUUGUCAUUGUUUUUGUAUUCCUCCGAGUUAGUUUCCUGUGACCCCUCGCCCUUCCUCCUGUCCACCUUCUUCGGGAUCUUUGGAGCCCACAUUCGAAGCUACUC
rnacentral:lncRNA from 1 species